UACGUAGGGGGCAAGCGUUGUCCGGAAUCAUUGGGCGUAAAGAGCGUGUAGGCGGCUUGGUAAGUCCGCUGUGAAAGUCCAGGGCUCAACCCUGGAAUGCCGGUGGAAACUGUCAAGCUUGAGUCCGGAAGAGGCGAGUGGAAUUCCUGGUGUAGCGGUGAACUGCGCAGAUAUCAGGAGGAACACCAAUGGCGAAGGCAGCUCGCUGGGACGGUACUGACGCUGAGACGCGAAAGCGUGGGUAGCGAACGGG
rnacentral:rRNA from 1 species